GACCAGACUCCUACGGGAGGCAGCAGUGAGGAAUAUUGGUCAAUGGCCGGAAGGCUGAACCAGCCAAGCCGCGUGAGGGAGGAAGGCGCAGAGCGUCGCAGACCUCUUUUGCCGGGGGACAAAAGGCCGGACGGGUCCGGUUCUGAGGGUACCUGAAGAAAAAGCAUCGGCUAACUCCGUGCCAGCAGCCGCGGUAAUACGGAGGAUGCGAGCGUUAUCCGGAUUUAUUGGGUUUAAAGGGUGCGUAGGCGGAAUGCCAAGUCAGGGGUAAAAUCGCGGGGCUCAACCUCGCUCCGCCGUUGAAACUGGCGUUCUUGAGUGGGCGAGAAGUAUGCGGAAUGCGUGGUGUAGCGGUGAAAUGCAUAGAUAUCACGCAGAACUCCGAUUGCGAAGGCAGCAUACCGGCGCGCAACUGACGCUCAUGCACGAAAGCGUGGGUAUCGAACAGGAUUAGAUACCCGUGUA
rnacentral:rRNA from 1 species